rnacentral:rRNA from 1 species
GACGAACGCUGGCGGCGUGCUUAACACAUGCAAGUCGAACGGAAAGGCCCUGCUUUUGUGGGGUGCUCGAGUGGCGAACGGGUGAGUAACACGUUAGUAACCUUCCCUUGACUUUGGGAUAACUUCAGGAAACUGGGGCUAAUACCGGAUAGGAGCUCCUGCUGCAUGGUGGGGAUUGGAAAGUUUCGGUGGUUGGGGAUGGACUCGCGGCUUAUCAGCUUGUUGGUGGGGUAGUGGCUUACCAAGGCUUUGACGGGUAGCCGGCCUGAGAGGGUGACCGGCCACAUUGGGACUGAGAUACGGCCCAGACUCCUACGGGAGGCAGCAGUGGGGAAUAUUGCACAAUGGGCGGAAGCCUGAUGCAGCAACGCCGCGUGCGGGAUGACGGCCUUCGGGUUGUAAACCGCUUUCGCCUGUGACGAAGCGUGAGUGACGGUAAUGGGUAAAGAAGCACCGGCUAACUACGUG